rnacentral:misc_RNA from 1 species
GAUGAAGAACGCAGCGAAAUGCGAUAAGUAAUGUGAAUCGCAGAAUUCAGUGAAUCAUCGAAUCUUUGAACGCACAUUGCGCCCCUUGGUAUUCCGAGGGGCAUGCCUGUUCGAGCGUCAUUAUAACCCCUCAAGCUCAGCUUGGUGUGGGGCCUGCUGCACUGGCAGCCCUUAAAAUCAGUGGCGGCGCCAUCUGGCUCUAAGCGUAGUAAUUCUUCUCGCUAUGGAGUCCUGGUGGAUGCUUGCCAUCAACCCCCAAUUUUUCUAUGGUUGACCUCGGAUCAGGUAGGGAUACCCGCUGAACUUAAGCAUAUCAAUAAGCGGAGGA